AUUUAUAAUAGCAAGUUACAAUACGAAGUAGUAGUUGAAUCAAACUAAACAACCUCAGCAAAGAGUUAUCACAAGCUACAAUAUGAAAUAGCAGUUGAAUCAAACUAAACAACCUCAGCAAAGAGUUAUCACAAGCUACAAUAUGAAAUAGCAGUUGAAUCAAACUAAACAACCUCUGGCAAGUUCUUGCACGUGCAUGGAAGCAUGCAUGUAUCAUGCAUGACCAGCAUGGAGACAAACUCGUUAUCAUGGAACUUGGCAUUAGGCUUUGGCUUCCUUAGGGAUCUUCUCUUAUCAAUUGCCAUCUUUACUAUAAGCAUCCAUGAUGAAGCAUGAUUUGUCUGGGUCCUCAUUAUUUUUUGAUAGUAUAUAUGUAGUGUAAGAGAUGCAUGGCUUUCGUAUAAAUCAAGAGUUGAUCUUUACUUCUCUUGGAUGUAUUCUUUCGAAUUUGAAUAUCAUAAUUCAUCUAAUUAGAGCUUCUACAUUUUCUAAUAUUUUGAGAACAUGAAGCCACAUAUAUAAGUGAUAUUUUUUGAAAAAUAAACAAAAAUGGUGUCAAGUUGCACGAGGUAACGUAGUCUUGUUGUCUGAAGAAUUAAAGUGAGACAUUUCCUCAAACAUAUCUGGCAGUUUAUUUGUAACUAGGUUAAUUAUCAAUAAAUAACAUGAUAUAGUCAUCAGAGAAAGCUAUAAUAUUGGCUUACAGAAAAAUUGUCAUAUCAGUUGUGACUCAACUGUUAGAUCUCUAAUAUUAUUGAAUAGAUAAUGGACUGAAACUGCUACCAGAAAUAUAUCAUUGAACAACUGAAGCAGACAAUGGAACCACACAUAAAUCACAUAAUAAUAGAUGGGCAACAAACAGCAGCAUUAACUAUUUAAUAAUUAAUUUUUCAGGAAUAAUGUAUAAAUAAAUUUUAUAACUUAGCCCGGAUCUCGAUCUGCCUCCCAGUGUCAGUGGAGAAGAGGCUAAAGAUGACACUGUGGGUAGCCCUUACCUUGAAUAGUACAAUACUUUCGAAGAGUAUCUAGCUUCUUUAAUUUAUUGAAUCCAGCAUUAUGCAGAGAUUUAUGUGAGGCCACGCUAUCAACUUCUGACAAAGUCUCAAGUCUCUCCAAAUGUGGCAACUUAUCAAAUAUGAUAUUAGCCACUACUUACACAGCACUUGUUGCAAGCCCUUUGCCCCAGAAGCUUGGAAGCACAGCACAAUUGUUUUGCAGCUCUGCACCUAUUAGAGUCGCCGUGAUACAAAAAUUGUACAAAUUGGCUUGUUAUUGAGGGAUAUUGCUUUGAACCUCGGAUGCGGGCCAUGCGGCAUAAGUGCGUUCUCGAAAAAGUUCAGUAGUUCACGAUGACAUUGACAUAUUCUAAAUCCAAAUUGAAAUUCCGAAUCAGGCUAUCAUGAAUUAGCCAAAAACAAGCAACUCUUGCCUCUGAAACAUCGAAAGGCCUCAGCUUGAGAAUGAUAUUACCCCAUUGCUAAUGUUAAAUGCGGACCGCCACCUAGUUUUUAGUUUUUACUCAAUGGUAAAAGUUCUUAGCACCAUUGAUAUGACACAAACCCACACUAUAAAAACUGUUAUUGGGUCAACUUUUAUCAGGUUGUGUCGUUUAUGAGUCAAUUCAUUAAAGAGUGGAGCUAUUGGCACCCCUACAUUAUUCUUACAAGACCCCCCUUUAAAUAAAAUUAUAAUUAAAGACAAUUGAAAAUUAAACAC
rnacentral:lncRNA from 1 species